ACUCCUACGGGAGGCAGCAGUGGGGAAUAUUGCGCAAUGGGCGAAAGCCUGACGCAGCGACGCCGCGUGAGGGAUGAAGGCCUUCGGGUUGUAAACCUCUUUCAGCAGGGAAGAAGCGCAAGUGACGGUACCUGCAGAAGAAGCACCGGCUAACUACGUGCCAGCAGCCGCGGUAAU
rnacentral:rRNA from 1 species